rnacentral:rRNA from 1 species
CAUCGCCUCCUGCAACUAUAUUGAGUAUAGGAGGUCCAGCCUGCCCAGUGACUACGGGUUCAACGGCCGCGGUAUUUUGACCGUGCAAAGGUAGCGCAAUCACUUGUCUCUUAAAUAGAGACCUGUAUGAAUGGCUAGACGAGGGCUUAACUGUCUCCCCCUUCCAGUCAGUGAAAUUGAUCUAUCCGUGCAGAAGCGGGUAUAAUUAUACAAGACGAGAAGACCCUUUGGAGCUUAAGGUACAAAAUUCAACCACGUUAAACGACUCUACAUGAAGCAAGAACUUAGUGGCGAAUGAAAUUUUACCUUCGGUUGGGGCGACCACGGAGGAGAAAGAAGCCUCCGAGUGGACUGGGCUAAUCCCCAAAGCCAAGAGAUACAUCUAUAAGCCGCAGAACAUCUGACCAAGAAUGAUCCGACUGAUAAAGCCGAUCAACGAACCAAGUUACCCUAGGGAUAACAGCGCAAUCCUCUCCCAGAGUCCAUAUCGACGAGGGGGUUUACGACCUCGAUGUUGGAUCAGGACAUCCUAAUGGUGCAGCCGCUAUUAAGGGUUCGUUUGUUCANCGAUUAAAGUCCUACGUGAUCUGAGUC